ensembl:lincRNA
CACAGCUGGGCCCAGAUGAGGCCCACAGCAGUGGGGUUGGGCAGAGACACCCAGACACGGCUGCUGCUGUGGGGUCCAGGAAGGUCCCGUAUUUGGGGUGCAUCUGCCGGGUGCCUGCGUCCCCUUCCCGUUCCCUAUCCCUGUGCCCCCCUCCCAGCUUCCUGUUUCUGUUUUGGGGCCGCAGGAACUUCCUCUUCUCAUCACGGAUCAAAAUGGCUUCUUGGUCUCAGCUGGAGGCCCUGCAGGGGGCUGGUCACCCCAGCCUGAAGGACAGCCACAGAGUGAAGGGGGGCUCUGAGCCUCUGGGGGCGGUGACAUCUACCAAAGGGUGAACCGUGGCCCUUUCCCAAGAGGCUCCCAUAGCUCCUCCGAUGGAGCCUCUCGUGUGAGCACCUGCCCAGGCCAUGGAGGGCCUGGGUCCUGCUGGAGUGACCCUAAACGACCCCCUUGUGCCCUUCCCGCCUCACGUGAGGGACACAAAAUAUGGACUGCCUGGCCUCCCCUUCCUCCUGCUCCCUCCCAGCCACAGGGUCCAGAUACUCACGGGCACUGUGUUGGCAUAUGUGUGUGGAUGAGCAAACACACACAUGGGGGGGUGCCCUGAGCCUGUGACCCCUGAGCCUGUGACCCCUGCCUGCCAGGGAGCAGACCUGCAGAUUCCUGGACGCCGAGGGAAUAGAAGGCCUGGCCCAGCCCGGGCAGUGCAUGCCUUGGCGAGGGUGUGUGUGUGUCUCUGGGUGGCCCGGGAUGGAGCUGAGGAGCCAGAUGCAUCCUCUGGGGGGUUGUGGCCUGGGUCAAAGUCAGGAAAGCGCCAGGGAAACUCCUGCCACCCGCUGCCCCCAG